CUUACCAGUUUAAUAUCUGAUAUGCCCUCUAUCCGAGGACAAUAUAUUAAAUGGAUUUUUGGAGCAGCAAGUUGGAAUAGGAGAUCGCUCCAUUCACUCCUAGCUCUGACCUGAUAUUGCAGUACCUCCAGGAACGGUGCACC
rnacentral:snRNA from 1 species